rnacentral:rRNA from 1 species
GACGAACGCUGGCGGCGUGCUUAACACAUGCAAGUCGAACGGAAAGGCCCUGCUUUUGUGGGGUGCUCGAGUGGCGAACGGGUGAGUAACACGUGAGUAACCUGCCCUUGACUUUGGGAUAACUUCAGGAAACUGGGGCUAAUACCGGAUAGGAGCUCCUGCUGCAUGGUGGGGGUUGGAAAGUUUCGGCGGUUGGGGAUGGAAUCGCGGCUUAUCAGCUUGUUGGUGGGGUAGUGGCUUACCAAGGAUUUGACGGGUAGCCGGCCUGUGAGGGUGACCGGCCACAUUGGGACUGAGAUACGGCACAGAAUCCAACGGGAGGCAGCAGUGGGGAAUAUUGCACAAUGGGCGGAAGCCUGAUGCAGCAACGCAGCGUGCGGGAUGACGGCCUUCGGGUUGUAAACCGCUUUCGCCUGUGACGAAGCGUGAGUGACGGUAAUGGGUAAAGAAGCACCGGCUAACUACGUG